rnacentral:tRNA from 1 species
GCCGGGAUGGCGGAAUUGGCAGACGCGGCGGACUUAAAAUCCGCUGGCCUUAUUGGCCGUGUGGGUUCGAGCCCCUCUCCCGGUACCA